UUUCCGUAGGUGAACCUGCGGAAGGAUCAUUCAUAAUAAGUGUUUUAUGGCACUUUUUAAAUCCAUAUCCACCUUGUGUGCAAUGUCAGUCGAUCUUCUUCAUGGAGAUCGACCAAACAUCAACCUUUAUUUUUUAACUCUUUGUCUGAAAAAUAUUAUGAAUAAACAAUUCAAAAUACAACUUUCAACAACGGAUCUCUUGGCUCUC
rnacentral:misc_RNA from 1 species